UUAUUUUUUUGAUCAUGGAAAUUUGAUUAUGAUAUGUAUGAUAUCAAACAUAUUAUUAUUUUUAUGUCCUGUACAUCCCCCUUGGCUUUAAUGAAAGCCACUCCCUCCUUGCCGUGCUGUUGAACAGGAUCUGGAGGCGUUCCUGCAGUUGUGCAUCUCAUUUGAUGUUUGCAGCAGUGCAGAGCAGGCUCUCAGCAGGGUCCUAAUGUUCUGCUUAUGCGAUCUGGUUACAAAUGAUUUUCUCAGCGGGUAUUAAAUCAGAUGACUGUGGCGGCAAACAGAUAACUUCACCCCCUCCUCUGUGCGUCGGAAAGCGCCUUCAUAUAUGGUCCCUGUGCUGGGUGUACUGUGAAGUACAUAACUGUCGCUCAUCUAUUCUAAACAUCCUGGAACUGGAAUGGGAACAGCUGUGAACUAACACAUGGCAGAAAAAUUUGAAUAAGCCUGAUCUCCCUCUAAAUUAUUCAUGGGUAUGUAUGAAUAUGAGAGUAAGGCAGCUAGUCUAGUUUCAAUUAUGGAAGGUUUUCACAAGGCCACAAUAAUUUUCACAUCUAGGUUUCACAGUUUGUAGUGAGUCUAUUCUUGUAUAAUACUGAUUCUGUUGGAUAAAGUACUUGUUGGAUAAAGUCUAUGAGAAUAGCUUGUCCUUCCACAGGAAGCAGAGUAAAUGUGCAGUAAAUGUUUCUGACUGUUUUUUUCACAGCCUCAUAGGAAUGGCUUCCUAGACUGUCAUAGGCAAAACUUUGUGUUGACAAAGGGCAAUAACAGACACUAAAGGCAAUCAAAUGGCUAGAAUCAAGACUAGAAACUAGACACACACACAUUUAUUUUCAUUUCCUUUAAGUACUGUCGCGUUGAACUGAAGAGGAAUUUCAUUAGAAUAUCUUUGAAAUCCACAUUUUUGUGGUUUCAAUGCACACAUCAAACUUUUGAUUUAAAUGCUUGCAGACUCGCAUGCACUUGCACAUUCAUUCAUUCAUUCAUUCUGAUUCAACCAAGACCCAGAUCUUCAAUCAAGUUCUUCAAACCAAAGUUGUGUUCACAUCGCUUGAAGGGCAACAAUGCUCUGCUCACCCUCUGGAGAAACUGCUGUCCAAGAAGGGAGGAAGCAGAGCUGGGAACACCCUCCUCUCCCCCAACCUUGCAACGGAUGUAGCCAUAAAGGUUCGCAGCCUGGAGAGAGAUGCCAGCUAUGACCAGGGCCUGGGAAAGGAGAGAGUCAGAGACAGUGAAUACCUUGUAAUGUGUCCUGCAUUAUGGAUCGCCCGCUCAGGACAGAGCUAAUAAUCUAAAGAAAUGCAUUAAAUCCAGCUGCUAUGUUCAAAAUAAAUUGAAUAAUAAUGUGCAAGUUGAGUGUUUUUUCAUGUUCAGCAUUACCAGCCA